rnacentral:pre_miRNA from 1 species
AAUAAGUGCAGUUUUGCACUAUUCACGUUCAACGUUUGACCGUCCGUCUUAUUUAAAAAAUUUAUGAAAAAAUUAAAAACAUUUAGUCACACAUAAAGUACUAUUCAUGUUUUAUCAUCUAAUAGCAAUAAAAAUACCAAUCAUAAAAAAUUUUCAAAUAAGACGGACGGUCAAACGUUGAAGAUGAAUAGUGCAAAACUGCACUUAUU